rnacentral:rRNA from 1 species
GAGUUUGAUCCUGGCUCAGGAUGAACGCUAGCGGCAGGCUUAACACAUGCAAGUCGAACGGUAACAGAGAAGAGCUUGCUCUUUUGCUGACGAGUGGCGCACGGGUGCGUAACGCGUAUACAAUCUACCUUUUACAGGGGUAUAGCCUUUAGAAAUGAAGAUUAACACCCCAUAGUAAGUACUUAUGGCAUCAUAGGGACUUUAAAACUUCGGUGGUAAAAGAUGAGUAUGCGUUCUAUUAGCUAGAUGGUGUGGUAACGGCACACCAUGGCAACGAUAGAUAGGGGCCCUGAGAGGGGGAUCCCCCACACUGGUACUGAGACACGGACCAGACUCCUACGGGAGGCAGCAGUGAGGAAUAUUGGACAAUGGGCGAGAGCCUGAUCCAGCCAUGCCGCGUGCAGGAAGACUGCCCUAUGGGUUGUAAACUGCUUUUAUAUGGGAAGAAACCCACCUACGUGUAGGUGGCUGACGGUACCAUAAGAAUAAGGAUCGGCUAACUCCGUGCCAGCAGCCGCGGUAAUACGGAGGAUCCAAGCGUUAUCCGGAAUCAUUGGGUUUAAAGGGUCCGUAGGUGGAUAAUUAAGUCAGAGGUGAAAUCCUGCAGCUCAACUGUAGAAUUGCCUUUGAAACUGGUUAUCUUGAAUUAUUGUGAAGUGGUUAGAAUAUGUAGUGUAGCGGUGAAAUGCAUAGAUAUUACAUAGAAUACCAAUUGCGAAGGCAGAUCACUAACAAUAUAUUGACACUGAUGGACGAAAGCGUGGGGAGCGAACAG